rnacentral:rRNA from 1 species
CCCAGGAGCCACAAGUGGGAGCCACUUUUAUUGGGCCUAAAGCGUCCGUAGCUGGUCUAGUAAAUUUCCUGUGAAAUCGUUGAGCUUAACUUAACGACGUGCAGGAAAAACUGCUGGACUAGGGACCGGGAGGCGUCAGAGGUAUUCCUGAGGGAGCGGUAAAAUGCUAUAAUCUCAGGAGGACCCCCUGUGGCGAAGGCGUCUGACGAGAACGGAUCCGACGGUGAGGGACGAAAGCUAGGGGAGCAAACCGG